AUUGAACGCUGGCGGCAGGCUUAACACAUGCAAGUCGAGCGGGGUGAUGGUGCUUGCACUAUCACUUAGCGGCGGACGGGUGAGUAAUGCUUAGGAAUCUGCCUAUUAGUGGGGGACAACAUCUCGAAAGGGAUGCUAAUACCGCAUACGUCCUACGGGAGAAAGCAGGGGAUCACUUGUGACCUUGCGCUAAUAGAUGAGCCUAAGUCGGAUUAGCUAGUUAGUGGGGUAAAGGCCUACCAAGGCGACGAUCUGUAGCGGGUCUGAGAGGAUGAUCCGCCACACUGGAACUGAGACACGGCCCAGACUCCGACGGGAGGCAGCAGUGGGGAAUAUUGGACAAUGGGGGGAACCCUGAUCCAGCCAUGCCGCGUGUGUGAAGAAGGCCUUAUGGUUGUAAAGCACUUUAAGCGAGGAGGAGGCUCCUUUGGUUAAUACCCAAGAUGAGUGGACGUUACUCGCAGAAUAAGCACCGGCUAACUCUGUGCCAGCAGCCGCGGUAA
rnacentral:rRNA from 1 species